rnacentral:tRNA from 1 species
UGAAGCAGCGUCCCGGUAGCUCAGUUGGUAGAGCACCUGUACGUGGUGAGCAAAAGCGCCUAGCAAUAACUGCCAGGAGGUCGCAGGAUCGAAGCCUGCCCGGGAUUA